GGUUACUGCUAUCGGGGUCCGACUAAGCCAUGCGAGUUGAGAGGGGUAAGCCCUCGGCAUACUGCUCAGUAACACGCGGAUAACCUGCCCUUGGGUCCGGGAUAACCCCGGGAAACUGGGACUAAUACCGGAUAGAUCAGAGAAACUGGAAUGUUCUCUGGUUCAAAACUCCGGUGCCCAAGGAUGGGUCUGCGGCCUAUCAGGUAGUAGUGGGUGUAACGUACCUACUAGCCAGCGACGGGUAAGGGUUGUGAGAGCAAGAUCCCUGAGAUGGAUUCUGAGACAUGAAUCCAGGCCCUACGGGGUGCAGCAGGCGCGAAAACUUUACACUGCGGGAAACCGCGAUAAGGGGACCCCGAGUGCCAGCACCUAGUGCUGGCUGUCCUACUGUCUAAAUAACAGUGGUUAGCAAGGGCCGGGCAAGACCGGUGCCAGCCGCCGCGGUAACACCGGCGGCCCGAGUGGUAACCGUUUUUAUUGGGUUUAAAGGGUCCGUAGCCGGCUUACUAAGUCUCUUGGGGAAUCUGGCGGCUCAAUCGUCAGGCGGCCAAGAGAUACUGGUAGGCUUGGGACCGGGAGAGGUGGGAGGUACUCCAGGGGUAGGGGUGAAAUCUCGUAAUCCUUGGGGGACCACCGAUGGCGAAGGCAUCCCACCAGAACGGGUCCGACGGUGAGGGACGAAAGCUGGGGGCACGAACCGGAUUAGAUACCCGGGUAGUCCCAGCUGUAAACGAUGCUCGCUAGGUGUCAGGUGCGGUGCGACCGCAUCUGGUGCCGCAGUGAAAACUUGAAGCGAGUCACCUGGGAAGUACGGUCGCAAGGCUGAAACUUAAAGGAAUUGGCGGGGGAGCACUACAACGGGUGGAGCCUGCGGUUC
rnacentral:rRNA from 1 species